rnacentral:rRNA from 1 species
GCUUGUCUCAAAGAUUAAGCCAUGCAUGUCUCAGUAUAAGUUCCUGUACGGCGAAACUGCGAAUGGCUCAUUAAAACAGUUAUAGUUUAUUUGAUGGUCGUUCCUUACAUGGAUAACUGUGGUAAUUCUAGAGCUAAUACAUGCAUCAACUCCCAACUGCUUGUCGGACGGGAUGUAUUUAUUAGAUUGAAACCAAUGCGGGGCAACCCGGUAUUGUGGUGAAUCAUAAUAACUUUGCGGAUCGCAGACCUCGCGUCGGCGACGAAUCAUUCAAGUUUCUGCCCUAUCAGCUUUGGAUGGUAGGGUAUUGGCCUACCAUGGCUCUAACGGGUAACGGAGAAUUGGGGUUCGAUUCCGGAGAGGGAGCCUGAGAGAUGGCUACCACAUCCAAGGAAGGCAGCAGG